CAGCAUCAUCUGCCAUGACAGUCCACAGUGAGACUCAAAUUCAGGCGAUUCUAGCUCUGUAGCAGAAGUACAUCCUGUCCCUUAAGGCUGUGAUCUCAAAGGAGUACACACACAGAGCCAAGGAUGUUUCAGCAUCUGACACUGUCCUGCCAGCAAGAGCUUGGGGCUGCACAGGGAGCUGGGAAGGAACCACUCUGGGACAGCUGAUGCAGACUGGCCAAAGGAACAUUCCAUUCUGUUUGACAUCAUGCUCAGCAAUAAAAGCUGGGUUGAAGAUGGAGGAA